GGGCCAUAGCUCAGUGAUAGAGCAUCUGCUUUGCAUGAAAAAGGUCUCAGAUUCAAUUCCUGGCAUCUCCA